CACAAUCACAACCAACCUACAGUAUAUCUAUAGCAAACGCGCAUUCUUCAUUCAAGUCAAUCAAUAUUUUUUAUUGUUCUCAGUAAGGGUUUUGGCCAACAAACAUUUAUAAUCAAUAAGGCCUCAUCACUCUCCAUGGAGGAGCAAAAAUGCUCAAGAGGCAAUUCUGUAUGCUGAAAGCCCAGGGAAGGCUCCCACUGGACCUCCCUCUGAGACCAAUGAAGGCCUGGCUCCUGGCAGGGAAAAGAGUCUUCCUGGAGCGUGAGGCAGAGACAUGGAAGAGAUGGAGGAAGGUCUCUGUAGCUGAAUUGACUUGGGAUGCAAAGAGGGGCCUGGAAUUACAGGAAACAGAGACAGAGAUAGUUAUCCUGCUCAGUGGCCAGAGAGU